CUCUGAGGUACGCGAGUUAGAAGAGCCCUGCAGUCCCAUGGGUGGACUUACGGAUUAUCAUACUAAGUGAAUAGGCUGCCUUUUUGUUUUGUUGAUGGUUUCCUUUGCUGUGCAAAAGCUUCCAAAGAAGACAUACCGAUGCCUACAGCCACAUGAAAAGAGGCUCAACUAAUCAUCAGGGAAAUGCAAAUCAAAACCACAAUGAGAAAUCACCUUACACCUGUCGGAAUGGCUAUCAUCAUAAAGGCAACAUAUAAGAAGCAUCGAUGAGGAUGUGGAGAAAAGGAAACCCUUGUGCACUGUUGAUGGAAAUGUAAAUUGGUGCAGUGACUAUGGAAAAGAGUGUGGAGGUUCCCCCAAAAAUUAAAAAUAGAACUACCAUACAAUCCCAUAAUUCCAGUUCUGAGUAUUUACCUGAAUAAAAUGAAAACAUUAACUCAAAAGGAUAUAUAUACCUCUCUGUUCAUUGCUGCAUUAUUUACAAUAGCCAAGAUAUGGAAGCAACCUAAGUGUCCAUUGAUAGAUGAAUGGAUAAAAAAGAUGUGGUAUAUGAUGGAAUAUUACUCAGCCAUGAAAAAGAAUGAAAUCUUGCCAUUUGCAACAACAUGGAUGGAUCUAGAGGGUAUUACGCUAAGUGAAAUAAGUCAGAGAAAGACCAGUACCAUAUUAUUUCACUUAUAUGUGGAAUAUAUGAAAAAGCAAAACAAAUGAACAAAGGAAAAGAAAACAGACUCAUAGAUACAGAGAAAUGACCAGUGGUUACCAGAGGGGAGGGAGGUGGGGGCUUGGAUGAAACAGGUGAAAGGGAUUAAGAAUUACAAACUUUCAGUUAUAAAAUAAAUCAAAGGGAUGUAAUAUACAACAUAAGGAAUAUGGUCAAUAAAACUGUAAUAACUGUAUGGAGACAGAUGGUUACUAGACUUAUUGUAGUGAUUGUUUUGUAAUGUAUUUAAAUGUUGAAUUACUAUGUUGUACACCUGAAACUAACAUAAUAUUGUACAUUAACUAUACUUCCGUAAUAAAAAAGAUGACAUCACCCUUUAUCUGGCACUGGGUUGAACACUUUAGACACAUUGCUCAUUAUUUUUUCAGGCCAGUCCUUUGAGGUGGAGAUCAUCAUACCUACUUAAUAAAUGAGGAAAAUAAGGAUCAGAGAUGUUAAGAAAUUUGCCCCAUGUUUUGGAGGCAGAACUUGGAUUAGAACCUACUUCUGUCUUAGCCUCUACACUAAAUCUCCUUGCUCUGAUUCUGCACUCACCCAGCUCCCCAGGCUGCAUUUUCUAAAGGAAGAGACUGUGGCCAACAGAUGCAGUGAUAUACAGGAGAGAGUGAGGUUGGGAGCCAGCAGAUCUGAGUUCCAUUCCAGGUACUCCCAUUUACAAGCUGUGGGAUAGUGAGAGGGCCUUCUGUCCUCAUCUGCAGAGUAGGGAUACUUAGAGACCUCACAGGGAACCCCUCUGACUGGACCACUGGAGUGUUGCCGCAGGGCAGCCUCCCCACAUGUGUAGUUCCUUUUCCCUUUUGCGCUUCCCAGUGUGAUAAAGGACCUUGUUAGGUCAUCAUUCGUAUAUGGGCUUCUUGGGAGUUUGGUACAAGCCUGUGUGUUCACAGAUCAGAACAUGCAAUGGGUUUGUCCAGAGACCCAACUUUCUCUGCAGAGCUUCACAGCCUAGAACACUGCAACCCCAGCAGGACAUAACUCUCCAUAAAGACCUGUCUGCCAAGCAAGCCAGCUUCCCCGACAGUGUCUUCACAUUGUCCUUUUUAACUACAGCAAUAUUAAAUAUGCUGGCACAACACUCCUUGCCUUGAAAGUCCAUUUCAAAGGAGAGUAAUGAAAUAUUUUCUCUCUGGAUAGUUGGAGCCUGGGAUGGCAUGGCAAAUGCCCCCAGAGGCCAGUAGUUACUUGGGUGGAGAAAGAGGCUGACACACAUUCCUGGGGCAAGGUGGAGAGCAGGCAUGCACUUCGCCAAGUAUUUAUGACGGCAGGGUGGACAGGCAGAACAUGGAGCAGAAGCUUUGCACACUGUUGGGGACAAACUAAUCUGUAUGUGGUUAUUCUGUGACAGGCUGUGAGCUCUGUUGAGACCCAAGGAUCGGUCCAAACAAUGAACAAAGUCUCUAAUGAGUAAAAGGCUUAUCAGUAAACAGUCUUGUAAUAAAAACUCUCACCCCCUAUUUGCAUAGCACUUUACGGUUUCUACACCCCCUUCCACAUACAUCGUUUAAUUUAAAUCUCAUGGCAGGCCUGGUGGCUGUUAUCACCAUUCUCGGUUUAUACAACACAGCAGCACAGCUGUGGCUCCAUUUAUAGAGGACAUGCUGGGUGUCAGGAAUUGCGAAAGCACUUUUUUGUUAUUCAAUCCCUCAGCACGUAUUGUUGAGCCCUACUCUGUGGGGGGCACUUUUCUGAGUGUUGGGAAUAAAGCCAUGAACAAAAGAGUUAAAUUGCCAGCUGUAAAGGAGCUGAUAUUCUUUCUGGGGGAGGCAGACAAGACAAACAGGUAACUAUGUCUUAGGUGGGGCAAUGAUCAGUGCCUCGCAGAGAAAUAAAGCAGGGAAGGUGGGGAGGAGGGGAGCGUGAGGACAGGCCUAUGGGUGAGAUGGUCUGUAGUCACUCAGGGAAGGACCUCCUAAGAAGGUGACAUCUGGGCAAAGAUCUGGAGGUGUCUGGGGGUUAGCAAGGAGAGUGAGGCCAGCAGGAUGGAGCCUGGGAGUGGCCUGUAGGGAAGACAAGGCUAGAGGGGCGAGGGGCAAGGGUCAUGGAGGAGCUGACAGGCCCUGAAGGACUCCAGCCUGGGCUCUGAGCAGGAUGAGAAGCCGC